rnacentral:lncRNA from 1 species
CGCUUAUCCCAUCAUUCUUGCUGCUUUCUGAAGCAAGCUCUGGAAUCCUCUUUCAUGAGUGUCUGUAUAAGGUGUGUUAAAGAAAAUGGGGUGAAUGCUGUUGCUGAGUGCCACCUAAUGGGAAGGCAGAUUCAUAAAAACAUGCUGCUGUGUCCUCAUCCCUCUUAUUCACCAGAUCUGGCACCAUGUGACUUCUGGCUUUUCCCCAAAGUCAAAACCCCAGUGAAAGUUAAACGUUUUGAACUGAUUCAGGACAUCAAGGCAGCCAGAACAGCACAACUAAAGACCCUCAUGAAAGAGGACUCCAGAACUGCUUCAGAAAGGGGCAUGAACCAUGGGAAAAGCAUGUUCAAAAUAUCGCUAGAAGUUCUUUGAAAUCAUGAAGAAGUUUCUUCUUAUACAAGAGCAAAGCAAGAAGAAAUGGGAAGUUUGGGACGGGGCUAGAGCUGCAAGAGGAGGCUGAGAAGCAAGAGAAUCUGUGACAGUACCAGGGCUCCAGGGGCGUUGGGAUCCAGAGCGCAGCUGUCAGGUGAGUUCUCGGCUUCACCUCGGAGUUCUCCCGCUCCGCGCCAGGGGAGGCGGCUUAGGAGCAAGUCGGGG